AACAGGAUUAGAUACCCUGGUAGUCCACGCUGUAAACGAUGUCGACUUGGAGGUUGUGCCCUUGAGGCGUGGCUUCCGGAGCUAACGCGUUAAGUCGACCGCCUGGGGAGUACGGCCGCAAGGUUAAAACUCAAAUGAAUUGACGGGGGCCCGCACAAGCGGUGGAGCAUGUGGUUUAAUUCGAUGCAACGCGAAGAACCUUACCUACUCUUGACAUCCAGAGAAUUUGCUAGAGAUAGCUUAGUGCCUUCGGGAACUCUGAGACAGGUGCUGCAUGGCUGUCGUCAGCUCGUGUUGUGAAAUGUUGGGUUAAGUCCCGCAACGAGCGCAACCCUUAUCCUUUGUUGCCAGCACGUAAUGGUGGGAACUCAAAGGAGACUGCCGGUGAUAAACCGGAGGAAGGUGGGGAUGACGUCAAGUCAUCAUGGCCCUUACGAGUAGGGCUACACACGUGCUACAAUGGCAUAUACAAAGAGAAGCGAACUCGCGAGAGCAAGCGGACCUCAUAAAGUAUGUCGUAGUCCGGAUUGGAGUCUGCAACUCGACUCCAUGAAGCCGGAAUCGCUAGUAAUCGUAGAUCAGAAUGCUACGGUGAAUACGUUCCCGGGCCUUGUACACACCGCCCGUCACACCAUGGGAGUGGGUUGCAAAAGAAGUAGGUAGCUUAACCUUCGGGAGGGCGCUUACCACUUUGUGAUUCAUGACUGGGGUGAAGUCGUAACAAGGUAACC
rnacentral:rRNA from 1 species